GCGAUUAUAAAAGUUCAAGAAAUAGUGACUUAGUGAAUCACAUGAGGACUCACACUGACGAAAAACCAUUUGUUUGUAAGUUGUGCGAUUAUAAAUGUGCAGUUAACAGUAGUUUAGUGAGUCACAUGAAGACUCACACUGGGUAAGCUCCUCGGCUCUUGCUUGUAAGCUAAGCAAGGACAGCUGUCGCGGAACUGCUAGUUCGCUCUGAGGCGUCCUGUACAUGAAGCCGGAGCCGCACCGUGAGUUAAGGUGAGAUCUAUAGAGCGCGCUCUGCCUUUGCUUAGACUUAAGACAGAGUUAAAACGAGACAGAGCUAUAUCGCUCACAUAAAUCUGUCUCGUUUUAACUCAAGCUUUAGUCAGAGCAAAGUCAAAGUGCGCUUUAUAGAUUUCAGCCUUAGUGUAAACAAAUAAGAAUCGCACAUGAGUCGUAGCGAGUUACGUAAGCGGCAGCUUGCAGGGUGGACUGAGGGAAACAAAGGCUAUUUACUUACUCAUUUUAUUCUUAACCUAGCUUGUACUUAAGGUGACAGUAUUGUUCACCUACUAAAUUAAUGAGUUAUACCUACUAAAUUAUUAAAUAAAUCUUUAGUUUUCAUAUGUACUUCCUCUCCACUACACUGAGAUGUUGGUUACAUUGGGAUCACGUGCAGACGCGAGCGGAAUUGAUGGUGAUGCUAUGCGCUGGUGUUACAAGGUCGUGCUGCGUCGGCGAAUUGCCCCACGUAGUAGAUAUACGUAACUGGUUUCAUAUCGCAUUCAGAAUUUAAAAGAAGAAAUCGUUUACCUACGAAAUUAUUACGUAUAAAGUACUAUUGAUGGAUGAAUUGUUACCCAUAUUAUGUAAUAACUAAUAAACUAUGAUUAGUUUUUAUUGUUAUCCAUUUUUAUGUAUGAUUAUUUGUUAAAAUACAGUGAUGGCAAAACAGGGAUUUUAAGUUCAGUCGGAUGCGACAGCUAGUGUAUAGUGACAGUUGUCAUAGUGAGCUAUGUGCAGCGCAUGUUACGCUAGUGCCGUCCAAGGGGCGCGCCGCUGUAGGUAUAUUUCUCGGGUCACGCAAGCCCGACCUGUCUGUACUUGAAAUUAUUGUAUUUAGAUUUUAAACUAAUUUAAACUUUUUUAUGAUGGAAACUGUAUGAAUUGUUAUACUAUGUACCUACUGACCAAUAAAUUAUGAUAAGUUUUUACUUUA